rnacentral:rRNA from 1 species
GAUGAACGCUAGCUACAGGCUUAACACAUGCAAGUCGAGGGGAAACGGCAUCGAAAGCUUGCUUUUGAUGGGCGUCGACCGGCGCACGGGUGAGUAACGCGUAUCCAACCUGCCCAUCACUUGGGAAUAACCUUGCGAAAGUAAGACUAGUGCCCAAUGACAUCCCACGAAGGCAUCCGAAUGGGAUUAAAGAUUUAUCGGUGAUGGAUGGGGAUGCGUCUGAUUAGCUUGUUGGCGGGGUGACGGCCCACCAAGGCAACGAUCAGUAGGGGUUCUGAGAGGAAGGUCCCCCACAUUGGAACUGAGACACGGUCCAAACUCCUACGGGAGGCAGCAGUGAGGAAUAUUGGUCAAUGGGCGAGAGCCUGAACCAGCCAAGUAGCGUGCAGGAUGACGGCCCUAUGGGUUGUAAACUGCUUUUAUAAGGGAAUAAAGUGGGUCACGUGUGACUUUUUGCAUGUACCUUAUGAAUAAGGACCGGCUAAUUCCGUG